rnacentral:rRNA from 1 species
GACGAACGCUGGCGGCAUGCCUAAUACAUGCAAGUCGAGCGAACAGAUGGAGUGCUUGCACUUCUGACGUUAGCGGCGAACGGGUGAGUAACACGUAAGGAAUCUGCCUAUAAGCGGGGGAUAACAUUCGGAAACGGGUGCUAAUACCGCAUAAUAUCUUCUUCCGCAUGGAAGAAGAUUGAAAGACGGCUCUGCUGUCACUUAUAGAUGACCUUGCGGUGCAUUAGUUAGUUGGUGGGGUAACGGCCUACCAAGACGAUGAUGCAUAGCCGACCUGAGGGGGUGAUCGGCCACAUAGGGACUGGGGAACGGCCCAAGCUCCUACGGGGGGCAGCAGUAGGGAAUCUUCCGCAAUGGGCGAAAGCCUGACGGAGCAAUGCCGCGUGAGUGAAGAAGGCCUUCGGGUCGUAAAACUCUGUUAUAAGAGAAGAACAAAUUGUAGAGUAACUGCUACAGUCUUGACGGUAUCUUAUCAGAAAGCCACGGCUAACUACGUGCCAGCAGCCGCCGUAA